rnacentral:lncRNA from 1 species
UUCCUAACGUUUACACGGAAUUGGUUUUUGCACCUAUUUUUAUUUUUCUACUUUUAAAUACCUAACCUUUCGUUUUUGUCUCAAAUUUGUCCGGUCACCGGUUUUUUCUUACGCCGGCGCCGGAAAUGCCACUGUGGCAGCCGAAAUCGUUGAUUUGGCAGCCGGAAAUUGACACAUAGCCUAUUCAUUGACACGUGGCAAAAAAUUAAAAAAAAAAGUAAAAUCCCACCCCCCUCGUCUUCUUCCUCUCCCCCC